UCCCAAGUAACAGGUUGAUUUCCUGCCGCCUCAGCUCAAUUCGGACUUGAACCAGAAACUGUGUAAAAGAGAAGUACAAGGAGCUAUGCUUCGGGAACAGACGGGGGUAAACUGGGAUUCCUAGCUGCUGUGCAGACAAGGAGCUGGAGUUACUGAUCGGCAGGUGAGAAACGGCUUCCCUUGCAUAGAAACACCACACCGAUCCUGCCUUCAUCCCUCGGCGGGCAUGUAGGUGUGUCCACCUCCUGGCUUUAGUGCCUGGCGCUGCAGUUAAUACGGGAGCACAGACGUCUCUCCACGAUCGAUCCCAGUUUCAGCUCUUUACGAUACACGCUCAGGAGUGAGGUUGCUGGGUCACACAGGAGUUCUCUUUUUAACUUUCUGAGGAAUCGCCCUGCUAUUUUUCAAAGUGGUUGCAUCAUUCAGCCACACACAGAAAAAGGAGACCAUGUCACAUGCCACAGCAUGGUGAACCUGGAGGAUAGUAUGCCAAGUGCAACAAGCCAGUCACCGAAGGACAAACACUCAGAGGAGGACUCAGAAGAAGUUGAAACGUAGAAACAGACAGUAGAAUGGGGUUGUCGGGGCUGGGGGAGGGGAAAUGGGGAGUUUCAGUCACGCAAGAUGAGAGAUUCUAGAGAUCUGGGUGACAACACGGUGCUAUAGGCAGCACCACUGCCCAUGCUCACAGUCGUCGGGGGAGAUCUCCUGUGAUGCGUGCUCACCGUGCGGGGAAAAUGAAACACGCCUCCGUCCGGGACAAACCGGUUGCCGGUGUCUUGGGGAGGGAGGCUGCAGGCGUCCCCAGGUGGGCGAGGCUGGGGCUCUGCCUGCGCCUCGGGCUCCCCGCGUCCCUGGCUGCUGGUCAGGCCUCUCAGGAGCGUGGGGGACACACCCUGCAGGCCCUCACCCCCUCCCUGUGCUGGCAGUGCAACCCGGGCCUGCACAGACAUGCGGGCAGCCCCGGGAGCAUGUUGUUAUUACCUGACUCCAAAGGCAGAGGACCUUCUGAAGCCACGGUGGAAAUCGCUAAAGAGGCCUGCAACCUCCCAUCUCCAGCUGGUCUUUGUCGCCUGGGCACAGGGCGGCCACCGUGGGAGGAACAGAUGCCCCUUGGGUCUUCACAGCCAGCGAGAUGAACUUACACCAGGGAAACUCAGAGAUUAACAGGGCUUUUCUGGAAGCGAGUCGGUCUGUGGGGUUACACUGCGUCACUGGCUACAGUCUCAGGCUGAGACAUCGAUGUGCUGGCUCACGGACAGUGCGAGUUUCUACGACGUGAUGUGACAGGUCCCCAGAUGUUCCACGAGACAGCGAAUAGGAAAUGGAUGUGUUGCCCCGACUUUUGGAAGUUAAGUGCAGAGUAAAAUGGGAUUACCGAAGCAUUAAGCUGAUUAGAAAUUGUAUUUCAAAGGAAAAAUGCUUUGUUGGUAAAGGACUUGGAUCAUGAUUUGAUUUGUCAGUGAAAACAAAAAUGCAACUGCAUGUUGUCUUCUUUGAGGGCGACAGUACUGAUUACUUCCCAGGGCACAGAAAUGAGGGCGCUGCCAAUGGAGGUCACUGCCAAUGGAGGCCGCUCUCUGCAUCCACCCUGUUCCCUAACUGCUGAGUCACCUUGCUGGGCCCUUGCUGAGUCACCUUGUUGGGCCUUCGCUGAGUCACCUUGCUGUGUCCUUGCUGAGUCACCUUGCUGGGCCCUUGCUGAGUCACCUUGCUGGGCCUUCGCUGAGUCACCUUGCUGUGCCCUUGCUGAGUCACCUUGCUGGGCCCUUGCUGAGUCACCUUGCUGGGCCUUCGCUGAGUCACCUUGCUGUGUCCUUGCUGAGUCACCUUGCUGGGCUAGUAGCCUCCUUUUUCUCUGAGAUGAGCUUUUAAAAAGUUUUACUUUCUUUCCAGGAGAAAUGGAAAUUUGUAAUGGGAGCUCAGAGCAUUUUGGAAUCCAGGGCAAAGUGUGGUUUUUAAAAAACUGUCCAAUAAAAUGGUAACAAGCCA